rnacentral:lncRNA from 1 species
CGGCCCCCUACAGCUUCCCCAAGCCCACAGCUCCCACUUGGGGUGCACCUGAGCCCCCGUCUCGUGAUGAAGCCACCCCCUCCUCUGCCUGUCUUUGAGGUUCGGCCAGCACGCAAGUGAGGGGGCUGCCUCCCGCUAGAGCAAGCCGACCGAGCACACAGCUCCGCUUGUUCUCAUUUUGCGUGGUCUUCGUUCAUAUCUACACAUUUUAUAGCUCCAGCUCUGUGGUCCGUUUUGAGGAACGUCUGCCUGUGUGUGGGAGGCACGCUCCCACGCUCACUCUUCGUGUGGAUGUCGUUGUUGAAAAGGCGUCUUUCCCUGCUGCUUGGUCUUGGCACCCUUGCUCAAACUUCUUGACAAUGGACUCCUGUUGUGUAACUUGUUGUGAACUAUUGUCUUUAAGGAAGAAAGGUGGAGAUUGAAUCAUGAAAUGCUGAGCUUGCUUCCCUGCCAGUGUGAAAUCCAUCACUUCCUUACCCGGAAUCAGGUGACCCACAGUUUUAGGAAAUUCACAAAGGGGCCAAAUUGGACAGGAGAAGCAACUGGAUGCAGGACCCAGCUUAUCUCGCGGAGAGGACGAGGAGGGGACAUGCGCCAUAGAGAUGUGAGUAGAUCUCAGCUGGACUUGAUUCAAACAAAACGAACUACUUAAUGACAUGCACGUGGUAACCCAGGAAAUUUGAUGAUGGUAACAUGGGCCAUUUUAUGUACAAUGAAUUAUUAUUGCAGUUAUGUUAGAACUUGUAAAAGACCGUUUUCAGAGGUUUGUUAAGUAUUUAUCUAUAAAUGACAGGACAUCUGGGAUUUGCUUCCAAAUAAUCCAGUGGUGGGAAAGGGUCUGUAGGGCUUGGAGAACACAGGCCUGGUGAAAACUCACUGCUGAGGCUCGGGUGGGUGGGCAUGUGGGUGGUUUGUUGUUUAAGUAACAGCUCUGUUGUAAUUCAGUAAUUUUCGGGUUACAGAGC